AGCCGGAAUAACACGUUGAAUACACUAGUUUCCCAUGGAUCACACAAGUUAAGCAACGGUGAACGUGGUUAGUAUCCGGAUAGGUGACCUGGGCAAUCUCGUAGGUAUGGUUU
rnacentral:rRNA from 1 species